GACACUGAACAUUGAGCCUUGAUGUGUAGGAUAGGUGGGAGGCUUUGAAGUGUGGACGCCAGUCUGCAUGGAGCCGACCUUGAAAUACCACCCUUUAAUGUUUGAUGUUCUAACGUUGACCCGUAAUCCGGGUUGCGGACAGUGUCUGGUGGGUAGUUUGACUGGGGCGGUCUCCUCCUAAAGAGUAACGGAGGAGCACGAAGGUUGGCUAAUCCUGGUCGGACAUCAGGAGGUUAGUGCAAUGGCAUAAGCCAGCUUGACUGCGAGCGUGACGGCGCGAGCAGGUGCGAAAGCAGGUCAUAGUGAUCCGGUGGUUCUGAAUGGAAGGGCCAUCGCUCAACGGAUAAAAGGUACUCCGGGGAUAACAGGCUGAUACCGCCCAAGAGUUCAUAUCGACGGCGGUGUUUGGCACCUCGAUGUCGGCUCAUCACAUCCUGGGGCUGAAGUAGGUCCCAAGGGUAUGGCUGUUCGCCAUUUAAAGUGGUACGCGAGCUGGGUUUAGAACGUCGUGAGACAGUUCGGUCCCUAUCUGCCGUGGGCGCUGGAGAACUGAGGGGGGCUGCUCCUAGUACGAGAGGACCGGAGUGGACGCAUCACUGGUGUUCGGGUUGUCAUGCCAAUGGCACUGCCCGGUAGCUAAAUGCGGAAGAGAUAAGUGCUGAAAGCAUCUAAGCACGAAACUUGCCCCGAGAUGAGUUCUCCCUGACUCCUUGAGAGUCCUGAAGGAACGUUGAAGACGACGACGUUGAUAGGCCGGGUGUGUAAGCGCAGCGAUGCGUUGAGCUAACCGGUACUAAUGAACCGUGAGG
rnacentral:rRNA from 1 species